UGCAACUCUCUGGAUGCAGCUAUCCAGACAAUUCUUUAUCCACCAAAUAGUCCACCCUUCAAAUCCAUAUAUCUCCUAUUUAGCGAUAAGGGUGUUGCAUGGGACUGUGUCAAAGGCUUUACAGAAUUCUAGGUAGAUGACAGUGGUCAGUCUUCCCUUGAAGUAUAUAUGAACAAACACAUGCAAACAGAGAUAAAUAACACUUGUAUUAAAAAAUCCAGAAUCAUUCUGAAGUUUUACUCGUAUAGUUUAAAGAAAAGCCACUGAAGUGAUAUGGGUGGAUGUUCCCUGAGACCUAAGGAAGAAGUGUCUCAACCAAUCAGCAAUAAUGCAAAGUAUCCCUGGCUUUUAGAAAGGAAUGCUACAGUGACACCAGUGGAUAUCAGUGAGCAUACUGCCAAUAUAAAUAUUGAAACUGAUAAAAAAAUCAUUUGUG